GAGUUUGAUCUUGGCUCAGAUUGAACGCUGGCGGUAUGCCUUACACAUGCAAGUCGAACGGCAGCAUGAUCUAGCUUGCUAGAUUGAUGGCGAGUGGCGAACGGGUGAGUAAUACAUCGGGAACGUGCCCUGUAGUGGGGGAUAACUAGUCGAGAGAUUAGCUAAUACCGCAUACGACCUGAGGGUGAAAGUGGGGGACCGCAAGGCCUCAUGCUAUAGGAGCGGCCGAUGUCUGAUUAGCUAGUUGGUGGGGUAAAGGCCCACCAAGGCGACGAUCAGUAGCUGGUCUGAGAGGACGCUCAGCCACACUGGGACUGAGACACGGCCCAGACUCCUACGGGAGGCAGCAGUGGGGAAUUUUGGACAAUGGGCGAAAGCCUGAUCCAGCAAUGCCGCGUGUGUGAAGAAGGCCUCGG
rnacentral:rRNA from 1 species